rnacentral:rRNA from 1 species
GGAUUAGAUACCCGGGUAGUCCACGCCGUAAACGAUGUCAACUAGCCGUCGGGAACCUUAGUGUUCUUGGUGGCGCAGCUAACGCGAUAAGUUGACCGCCUGGGGAGUACGGUCGCAAGAUUAAAACUCAAAUGAAUUGACGGGGGCCCGCACAAGCGGUGGAGCAUGUGGUUUAAUUCGACGCAACGCGAAGAACCUUACCAGGUCUUGACAUCCAGAGAAGUCGCUAGAGAUAGCUUUGUGCCUUCGGGAACUCUGAGACAGGUGCUGCAUGGCUGUCGUCAGCUCGUGUCGUGAGAUGUUGGGUUAAGUCCCGUAACGAGCGCAACCCUUAUCCUUAUUUGCCAGCGGGUUAUGCCGGGAACUUUAAGGAGACUGCCGGUGACAAACCGGA